rnacentral:SRP_RNA from 1 species
CCGUACUAGAUGGGGAGGCAGCGGCGCCCUGUACCCGCAAUCCGCUAUAGCGGGAUCGAAUUCCUGUCCUCGGAUUAACUUUGUGGGGUCCGGCUUUGAUAAGCGGCGUUGAUGGCCGGGUCCCGCGCAACGAAGCUUUGUGAACCCUGUCAGAUCCGGAAGGAAGCAGCAGUAAGCGAAUCCUUUCGUGUGCCGCGGGGGCGCCUGGCUUGAGCUGGCUGUCAAGGUAACGCCCGGAAAGUUAUUUUCAAAGACAGGUGUACGG